rnacentral:rRNA from 1 species
UACAGAGGGUGCAAGCGUUGUUCGGAAUUAUUGGGCGUAAAGAGCUUGUAGGCGGUUUGUCGCGUCUGCUGUGAAAUUUCGGGGCUCAACCCCGAACUUGCAGUGGGUACGGGCAGACUAGAGUGUGGUAGGGGAGACUGGAAUUCCUGGUGUAGCGGUGAAAUGCGCAGAUAUCAGGAGGAACACCGAUGGCGAAGGCAGGUCUCUGGGCCAUAACUGACGCUGAGAAGCGAAAGCAUGGGGAGCGAACAGG